rnacentral:rRNA from 1 species
GACGAACGCUGGCGGCGCGCCUAACACAUGCCAGUCGAACGGAGCUGAGAGAAGCUUGCUUUUCUUAGCUUAGUGGCGAACGGGUGAGUAACGCGUGAGUAACCUGCCCUGGAGUGGGGGACAACAGUUGGAAACGACUGCUAAUACCGCAUAAGCCCACGAUCCGGCAUCGGAUUGAGGGAAAAGGAUUUAUUCGCUUCAGGAUGGACUCGCGUCCAAUUUGCUAGUUGGUGAGGUAACGGCCCACCAAGGCGACGAUUGGUAGCCGGACGGAGGGGUUGAACGGCCACAUUGGGACUGAGACACGGCCCAGAAUCCUACGCGAGGCAGCAGUGGGGGAUAUUGCACAAUGGGGGAAACCCUGAUGCAGCGACGCGGGGUGGAGGAAGAAGGUUUUCGGAUUGUAAACUCCUGUCGUUAGGGACGAUAAUGACGGUACCUAACAAGAAAGCACCGGCUAACUACGUG